CCUACGGGAGGCAGCAGUGGGGAAUCUUAGACAAUGGGGGCAACCCUGAUCUAGCCAUGCCGCGUGAGUGAUGAAGGCCUUAGGGUCGUAAAGCUCUUUCGCCUGUGAUGAUAAUGACAGUAGCAGGUAAAGAAACCCCGGCUAACUCCGUGCCAGCAGCCGCGGUAAUAC
rnacentral:rRNA from 1 species